GGGACAGUAAGAUUUUCUCUGAGGCUGGCACUGGUGCCUGCCUCUGCUCCGGGGAAUCCAGACGUGGCACCCGGAGUUGGGCCUCAUCCAUCCUCAGCUUUCAUUUGUGACCAAGCCUGACUCAGAAUGGGCUGGCAGUUUUCCUGAGUACAUGGGAGUUAGGGCAGAGAACAUGAUGUGGUGCUGGUAGUCAACGCAAGCUGGCACGGCCUCAGCCAGAAGACUGGAGCUAGGAGCAAGCAAAGGAACAUUGCCCUGAGACAGACAUCCAUGAAGAAGCCUGGGAUGAAAGACCACAUGGAGAGAAAGGCCCACCAUCAUUCUGCACCAACUACCAACGGCGUAAGGGAGGUUGACUUGGAUCUCCCACCCCAGUUGACUCUCCAGCUGAAAGCAACUGCCUGAGCCCAAACAAAACCUGCUGAGGAACCUCCCUGCUAGCAAAUGGAAUCAGGAGAAAUAAUAAAUAGUUCUGUUGUUUUAAGUCACCAACUCACAAACGGAGUAUAAGAAAUAAUCAAUGGAUGUAGUUUUAAGUCUCUAUGUGUUGGGAUGGUUUGAUAUAACAAUAGGUAACUGAAACAGUAGAAGAUUAGAAAGAGGAAAAAUAAUCACCCAUAAUCCCAUCACAUAA
rnacentral:lncRNA from 10 species